GACGAAUUGUAUAGAAUUUUAACUUUGUACUCGUAUAUCGUGUAGUGUUCCAUUCCAUUCGAUUAAUUCCACUCCAGUGCUCUCUCUCUCUCCCCUCCAUCUUCCUGUCUCUGUCUCUGUCUCUCUCACUCCCUCCGACGUCUCUCUCUUCCUCUAGCCUUUGGAGAUAUGGAAAAUCACCAACUCGCAUAAUCGCUCCGUUUGUGCAUAGCUGUGUUGAAGAUUGGAGCAUAGCAGGCGUCCAAUUGAGAAAACUUGUGCAAGAUCCAUUGAAAGAACUGCUUUCGAACAACCAUUAACAAGUGGUGUGGCAUAUGCUGUGAAAGUGCUCCAUUCUGAAAGAGAAUAAUUUGAGAAGCAGCAUGGCUGGACUAUUAAGAGGAUGGAUACUGUUGAACAAGAACCUGUUCAUAAGUAUGAUUAUGCUCUGGAAAAGCUGGAGCCUUCUCUAGUUCAAGACGAAAAUGCCCAUGAUAUUUGCACAAGAUACCAUUUCUCAUGUUGUUUCUGUCGAUGUGCUUUCUAGGAAGCCUAGCUCUAAAGUCCAUGUACAUUUGAAGGGAGCCAUCGAUGACUCGAUGAGCAUAAGGUGAAGGGGCUGCUAAAAUUGGAAGGGGGUUGCUGGUGAGCACAAGGUGAAAGGGGCUGUUGAAAUGGGAAAGGGGAAGGGUUUGGAGGAGAUGAAUUUUAGAAGUAUAAAUCUAUGUAAUCUAAAUAUUACAAAUUAGAUAUUACAUGUAUAAAUGUUAAUUAAAUUACAAGGAUGAAUUGUGUUUUUGUU